CCUACGGGUGGCAGCAGUAGGGAAUUUUGCGCAAUGGGCGAAAGCCUGACGCAGCAACACCGCGUGAAUGUUGAGGCCUUUGGGGUGUAAAGUUCUGUCAAUAGGGACGAAAUUUGACUGUACUUAUAAAGGAAGCACCGGCUAACUACGUGCCAGCAGCCGCGGUAAUACGGAGGGUGCAAGCGUUGUCCGGAAUCAUUGGGCGUAAAGCGGUCGUAGGCGGCAAGGUAAGUCUGAUGUUAAAGCCCGGGGCUCAACUUCGGUUCGGCAUUUGAUACUAUCUAGCUGGAGUGCGGUAGAGGUAAAGGGAAUUCCUGGUGUAGCGGUGAAAUGCGUAGAUAUCAGGAGGAACACCAGUGGCGAAAGCGGUUUACUGGACCAUUAUUGACGCUGAGGAACGAAAGCCAGGGGAGCAAAUGGGAUUAGAUACCCGAGUAGUC
rnacentral:rRNA from 1 species